UGCCAGCAGUCGCGGUUACACCGAGAAGUUAAGUCAUAUNAAUAAUGGUAAAAAGGCAGUUAGACAUAAUUAAUUUUUAGGUUUACUUAACUUUUAUAAAAAAGUAAAAUUUGUAUAUAAUUGUAUAUUUUAAUUAGGACUGUAAAGUUGAAUCUGCGAUCGCCUGGAGGGAAACUGGGAUUAGAUACCCCAUUAUUCCUGGAUGUAAAUUAAAUUUAAAUUUACCGGAGUACUAUGAAUAUAUAAAAUUUAAAACUCAAAGGACUUGGCGGUAUUUUAGACUAUUUAGGGGAACCUGUCUCAUAAUCGAUAAUCCACGUUACACCUAACCUUUUUUUGCUUUCAGCUUGUAUAUCGUUGUCGUCAGGUAACUUUUUAGAAAUUAGAAGUUAGCUAAAAAUGGUAAAUUUAAACGUCAAAUCAAGGUGCAGUUAAUAAAAAGGGGAAGAUGGGUUACAAUUAUUUUAAUUAUAAUUACGAAAAACCACAGGAAUCUGCGGUUAAUAAGGAGGACUUAAAAGUAAAUUAGAUUAUAUAAAUAAUUUGAAUAAAGCUCUGAAAUGUGCACACAUCGCCCGCCGCUCU
rnacentral:rRNA from 1 species